AUUUGGAAAAAGAAUGUUGUCCCAAGUUUAUAUGCUCAUCAUGUACAACAAACCUUCAUACUUUAAACAGAUCAAAAACACAACAAAUUGAAAAGUGGAUACAUAAAAUAUCACAGGUACUAUUUGUACGUAUCGCAGACAUUAAUUUUAAAUAUAGAAAUAGUAGUGUAAUUUUUUUUUUUUUUUUGUCUUUUAGUUGUUUUUUUUUGUUUGUAAAAAUGAGAUGUAAAGAUCAUGAUCAUGAUAUCAAAAUGCAGAAAAUAUGUUGUCUGUGCUUUUCAGUUACUGCCAAGCUGUUAACAAUCUUAUUAGUCAUUCAGAAGCACUGGGGCAUGUAUGUAGUGAACAAAUAGCAUCAGGACUACUCAAAAAUAAAAUGAAGAGAGAAAAUAUUAAACGUGGUGAAAAUUUUCCCAAAAUACACUAAAUGUUAUUGUUGGAAGACCAGAUACAAAGUCUAAACGAAUAUCGUUUAAAAAGUUGCCCUUUGAUGUUAUAAUGGAAUUGUCAAACACCUUGUUUUUGUCUAAAAGAAUAACACAAAUUCUUUGCACUAACUUGAGUGAAAAUCUUGGCAAAAAUAUGGUUGCUACCAAUAUUAGGCUUCAAAUGGAAAAAUUACACGAUUCUUUGUUAGAAUUUUAUGAUGUCAAAAAAGAAACAUUUAUAUCAGGAGAUGAAAAGUUAACAUGCAGCCUUGAGUUGUUACAAAUACAUCAGAUCUUAUUCUUUACACAAUGAAAUAAAGAGACUUAGAUCCUUAUUCCAGUAUAGCAAGACUUUUAGUAGAUUCAGGACAAGGAUUUCUGAAAUGUAUUUUAAAUGUUUUUGGUCCUUUAGUCAAACAUUCGAGCUCAAAAAAAUUGAUGAAGCUGGUGUAAAACGAUCUAUAAUUUUGUCUUUAGUUAAAGAUGCUUGGAAAUACAAUGGUAACCUUAACUUACUUCUAGCUCCACUAAGAUUAGAAGAUAUUACAUAUUCAGUAGCAUUUGAUCUUAAAUGCAGAAAUUUUUUAUUUGGUCUGAGUAGCCGCAGUGGUAAAUUUGCAUGUCUCUAGUGUGAGGGUGAAUGUUUACUUGAAAGUGGUGUCAAAAGAACGUUUGGGUCCAUAGACUCUAACUAAAAAAAAUUUAUUGCAGAUGGUUGCAAAUAUAAGCAAAUGAAAUAAUUCAAAAAUUGUAUUUCUCCAAUAAUUCUUUACCUUAAUGAGCCUCUAGAAACCUUAGUUGAACAUAGCAUUCCACCUCCAGAGCUUCAUCUUUUCACUGGGUUUGAAUCAUGGCUAAAGACUAAUUAUAUUAUGGUGCGAGGCUAUCAUGGAAUUGGGUUGGAUGGCAAUAAUGCACAAAGAUUUUUAGAUAAUUUGGAUGAUUUUGAGAUAAACCUUAUAAGUGCAGCCUUAAUAGAUCCAAAUAUUAGGUUGCUUCUUCCAGUUAUUGGUUGUACAAGAAAGUUUUCAAUUGUAAAAAAAAAAAGGAUUUGGAAUGAAAGUAAAGGAGUUCUUGUAUAAGUCAGUUUUAGACUUUAAAAAUUCAUUCAAAAUUUUUAAGGUCAUCUAAAAGAUAGCUUUGAAUACCAAUUACAUGUAAGCUUGAAAAUCCAUUUACUUGUUUGCCAUCUUUAUCUGUUCCUCCAACAUAAUAAAUAUGGUUUGGGUGUAUAUGCUGAACAAGCAGGAGAGAGUGCACACCAGCACCACCAUCAAGUAUGGAAAAAGUAUAAAAGACAUUCAGAACAUAAUGAUUAUUCACAGCUAAAGAAAAGUGUUUGGAAAAAAUUAAUAUACAUUUAUACAUUUUUUUUUUAUCUAU